rnacentral:rRNA from 1 species
UACGGAGGGUGCAAGCGUUGUCCGGAAUCACUGGGCGUAAAGGGUGCGUAGGCGGGUCUUUAAGUCAGGGGUGAAAUCCUGGAGCUCAACCCCAGAACUGCCUUUGAUACUGAGGAUCUUGAGUUCGGGAGAGGUGAGUGGAACUGCGAGUGUAGAGGUGAAAUUCGUAGAUAUUCGCAAGAACACCAGUGGCGAAGGCGGCUCACUGGCCCGAUACUGACGCUGAGGCACGAAAGCGUGGGGAGCAAACAGG